rnacentral:rRNA from 1 species
AUUUCUUCGGAUUGAAGUUUUUGCGACUGAGUGGCGGACGGGUGAGUAACGCGUGGGUAACCUGCCUCAUACAGGGGGAUAACAGUUAGAAAUGACUGCUAAUACCGCAUAAGCGCACGGUGCUGCAUGGCACAGUGUGAAAAACUCCGGUGGUAUGAGAUGGACCCGCGUCUGAUUAGCUAGUUGGUGGGGUAACGGCCUACCAAGGCGACGAUCAGUAGCCGGCCUGAGAGGGUGAACGGCCACAUUGGGACUGAGACACGGCCCAAACUCC